UACGAAGGGGGCUAGCGUUGCUCGGAUUGACUGGGCGUAAAGAGCUCGUAGGCGGUUUGUCGCGUCUGCUGUGAAAACCUCAGGCUCAACCUGGGGCUUGCAGUGGGUACGGGCAGACUAGAGUGCGGUAGGGGUGACUGGAAUUCCUGGUGUAGCGGUGGAAUGCGCAGAUACCAGGAGGAACACCGAUGGCGAAGGCAGGUCACUGGGCCGCAACUGACGCUGAGGAGCGAAAGCAUGGGGAGCGAACAGG
rnacentral:rRNA from 1 species